UAAAUAACGGUGAAGAGGAGUAGUAGUGAACCAAACGGACGGCAGAGAGUUGACGGUCGGUGCGAGUCAACCGAAGUUUGUUCACGAACUCGCCUCGGAGUUGCGGGCAUGAGCGGCUUUCGCCUCGUAAUGUCCGCCGUGAAUCUGCGUUAAUGAUGAGAGUGGGCAUGCAGUUUUGCAUGCUAAGAAGGGUGGUACCGCGGGAAUGGCACCUCUCGUCCCUUUU
rnacentral:ncRNA from 1 species